AUUGAACGCUGGCGGCAGGCUUAACACAUGCAAGUCGAGCGGAGAGAGGUAGCUUGCUACUGAUCUUAGCGGCGGACGGGUGAGUAAUGCUUAGGAAUCUGCCUAUUAGUGGGGGACAACAUUUAGAAAGGAAUGCUAAUACCGCAUACGUCCUACGGGGGUAAGCAGGGGAUAUUCGGACCUUGCGCUAAUAGAUGAUCCUAAGUCGGAUUAGCUAGUUGGUGGGGUAAAGGCCUACCAAGGCGACGAUCUGUAGCGGGUCUGAGAGGAUGGUCCGCCACACUGGGACUGAGACACGGCCCAGACUCCUACGGGAGGCAGCAGUGGGGAAUAUUGGACAAUGGGCGCAAGCCUGAUCCAGCCAUGCCGCGUGUGUGAAGAAGGCCUUAUGGUUGUAAAGCACUGUAAGCGAGGAGGAGGCUACUUUAGUUAAUACCUAGAGAUAGUGGACGUUACUCGCAGAAUAAGCACCGGCUAACUCUGUGCCAGCAGCCGCCGUAACAC
rnacentral:rRNA from 1 species